rnacentral:rRNA from 1 species
AACGAACGCUGGCGGCAUGCCUAACACAUGCAAGUCGAACGAGACCUUCGGGUCUAGUGGCGCACGGGUGCGUAACGCGUGGGAACCUGCCCUUAGGUUCGGAAUAACUCCCCGAAAGGGGUGCUAAUACCGGAUAAUGUCUUCGGACCAAAGAUCUAUCGCCUUUGGAUGGGCCCGCGUUGGAUUAGCUAGUUGGUAGGGUAAAAGCCUACCAAGGCGACGAUCCAUAGCUGGUCUGAGAGGAUGAUCAGCCACACUGGGACUGAGACACGGCCCAGACUCCUACGGGAGGCAGCAGUGGGGAAUAUUGGACAAUGGGCGAAAGCCUGAUUCAGCAAUGCCGCGUGAGUGAUGAAGGCCUUAGGGUUGUAAAGCUCUUUUACCCGGGAUGAUAAUGACAGUACCGGGAGAAUAAGCUCCGGCUAACUCCGUG